rnacentral:rRNA from 1 species
CCAAUCCAUCUCUGGAAAGUUCUUACUAUGUCAAGACCAGGUAAGGUUCUUCGCGUUGCAUCGAAUUAAACCACAUGCUCCACCGCUUGUGCGGGCCCCCGUCAAUUCAUUUGAGUUUUAGUCUUGCGACCGUACUCCCCAGGCGGUCUACUUAUCGCGUUAGCUGCGCCACUAAAGCCUCAAAGGCCCCAACGGCUAGUAGACAUCGUUUACGGCAUGGACUACCAGGGUAUCUAAUCCUGUUUGCUCCCCAUGCUUUCGCACCUCAGUGUCAGUAUUAGGCCAGAUGGCUGCCUUCGCCAUCGGUAUUCCUCCAGAUCUCUACGCAUUUCACCGCUACACCUGGAAUUCUACCAUCCUCUCCCAUACUCUAGCCAACCAGUAUCGAAUGCAAUUCCCAAGUUAAGCUCGGGGAUUUCACAUUUGACUUAAUUGGCCACCUACGCGCGCUUUACGCCCAGUAAAUCCGAUUAACGCUUGCACCCUCUGUAUUACCGCGGCUGCUGGCACAGA